rnacentral:rRNA from 1 species
AUUGAACGCUAGCGGGAUGCUUUACACAUGCAAGUCGAACGAGUGGCGGACGGGUGAGUAAUGUAUGGGGACUGCCCGAUAGAGGGGGAUAACUACUGGAAACGGUAGCUAAUACCGCAUACUAUCGGAUAACCCAUAUGGGAGUAGCUAGUAGGUGAGGUAAUGGCUCACCUAGGCGACGAUCCCUAGCUGGUCUGAGAGGAUGAUUAGUCACACUGGUAAUGAGAUAAGGCCUAGACUCCGACGGAGGCAGCAGUGGGGAAUAUUGGACAAUGGGCGCAAGCCUGAUGCAGCCAUGCCGCGUGUAUGAAGAAGGCCCUAGGGUUGUAAAGUACUUUCAGUCGGGAGGCGUUACCGACAGAAGAAGCACCGGCUAACUCCGUGCCAGCCGCCGCGGUAAUUC